rnacentral:lncRNA from 1 species
AGGCAAUGGAAAGAGCGCAUGUGCUCCCACACCUGUGAGCUGAACCCAUAAUGCAAUCCUCUGGAAAGUCUGCAGACAAGAAGCCCCAGCCAAGGGCUGAAAUCCAUAAAUCCAGCAAGACCCCAGCCCUGAGGUCAGAGUGGGAGUGACAAGGAAGGACUCCCAUGACCAGGAGGAGAACUAGGUCUCUUGCCAUCUCUGGACCUUUCUGUCUCUGCAUUUCCACACAUGGGGGGUUUCUCAGAGCCAGGUAGGAAUGCAGUCUGAGAAAGAAGAAAGAAGCCUAUCAUGAAGACACAAAAUCAGAGUAACUCUAGCAGCAAAAACGAAAUGAAAAUGCAGUUUUGUUAUUAUAAACUCAAGCUACAUCAAUCCCUCUAAUCUGAGGGAAAGAUUGGCCCAGAAGCCUGGGGCAGGCCUGAACCUUCAGGUCAAGGAGCUGCAGCUGUGUGAGCCAGGAGCAGGUGGAGGCCAGGAAGCAGGGCAGGUCAUGGCCCCCCAAAAGUCUUGUUACUGCCCAAGGCCAGGCUCCCAGGUCUCUGAUGUCUUCAGAAUUCAGGCAGAGUCAGUGGCUGUAGCCACCGCCUGGACACCCCCUGUAGUGCCCCUGAGUACUGUGGUGAAAGGUGACUUCUUUUUCCUUCCUUUUAAGCCCAGGAGGCUAAUAAUAAAAUACUCUCUG